GACGAACGCUGGCGGCGUGCCUAUACAUGCAAGUCGAGCGCAGGAAACUGACGGAACUCUUCGGAGGGAAGGCAGUGGAAUGAGCGGCGGACGGGUGAGUAACACGUAAGGAACCUGCCUCAAGGAUUGGGAUAACUCCGAGAAAUCGGAGCUAAUACCGGAUAGUUCAACGGACCGCAUGGUCCGCUGAUGAAAGGCGCUCCGGCGUCACCUUGAGAUGGCCUUGCGGUGCAUUAGCUAGUUGGUGGGGUAACGGCCCACCAAGGCGACGAUGCAUAGCCGACCUGGGAGGGUGAUCGGCCACACGGGGACUGAGACACGGCCCAGACUCCUACGGGAGGCAGCAGUAGGGAAUCUUCCACAAUGGACGAAAGUCUGAUGGAGCAACGCCGCGUGAGUGAUGAAGGUUUUCGGAUCGUAAAACUCUGUUGUAAGGGAAGAACACGUACGAGAGGAAAUGCUCGUACCUUGACGGUACCUUACGAGAAAGCCACGGCUAACUACGUGCCAGCCGCCGCCGUAAAAC
rnacentral:rRNA from 1 species